AAGACUCUAUUGAAGUGCUGGAUCAUUUUGACUCUGAGAAUGCUAAUUCUAUAACUUUUAAUGGUCCCCAUUUCACAUACGAGUUACCAGGAAAAAUUGCCAAAAUGUUGUAUCCACAUCAGCGUGAUGGCUUGAAGUGGCUUUGGUGUCUGCAUUGUCAGGGUAAGGGUGGAAUCCUGGGGGAUGACAUGGGUCUAGGGAAAACAAUGCAGAUUUGUAGUUUUCUAGCUGGUUUAUUCAAUUCACGUUUGAUUAAAAGGGCAUUGGUGGUGGCACC